rnacentral:rRNA from 1 species
AUUGAACGCUGGCGGCAGGCCUAACACAUGCAAGUCGAGCGAGCGGCGGACGGGUGAGUAAUGUCUGGGAAACUGCCUGAUGGAGGGGGAUAACUACUGGAAACGGUAGCUAAUACCGCAUACCAUCAGAUGUGCCCAGAUUGGAUUAGCUAGUAGGUGGGGGAAAGGUUCACCUAGGCGACGAUCCCUAGCUGGUCUGCGAGGAUGACCAGCCACACGGGAACUGAGACACGGUCCAGACUCCUACGUGAGGCAGCAUUGGGGAAUAUUGCACAAUGGGCGCAAGCCUGAUGCAGCCAUGCCGCGUGUGUGAAGAAGGCCUUCGGGUUGUAAAGCACUUUCAGCGAGGAGGCGUUACUCGCAGAGGAAGCACCGGCUAACUCCGUGCCAGCAGCCGCGGUAAUUC